rnacentral:precursor_RNA from 12 species
AGUAAGGAUCUUAAAAUCCCCAUUGCCUGUCUUCUCAUGUUUGUACCCUGUGUGGUCCCCCACCACCCUGAGUAUAGGCAAUGUAAUUCACAGGGCACAUACAUGAGAGGACAGGAAUCUUGGGGGCUAUCCUAGAAUUCUG